CCUACGGGAGGCAGCAGUGGGGAAUUUUGGACAAUGGGCGCAAGCCUGAUCCAGCCAUUCCGCGUGAGUGAAGAAGGCCUUCGGGUUGUAAAGCUCUUUCGCAAGGGAAGAAACGUUACGGGCGAAUAACCCGUGAUAAUGACGGUACCUUGAUAAGAAGCACCGGCUAACUACGUGCCAGCAGCCGCGGUAAUACGUAGGGUGCAAGCGUUAAUCGGAAUUACUGGGCGUAAAGCGUGCGCAGGCGGUUUUUGUAAGUCAGAUGUGAAAUCCCCGAGCUCAACUUGGGAACUGCGUUUGAAACUACAAGGCUAGAAUAUGUCAGAGGGGGGUAGAAUUCCACGUGUAGCAGUGAAAUGCGUAGAGAUGUGGAGGAAUACCAAUGGCGAAGGCAGCCCCCUGGGAUAAUAUUGACGCUCAUGCACGAAAGCGUGGGGAGCAAACAGGAUUAGAUACCCUGGUAGUCCACGCCCUAAACGAUGUCUACUAGUUGUUGGUGGAGUAAAAUCCAUGAGUAACGCAGCUAACGCGUGAAGUAGACCGCCUGGGGAGUACGGUCGCAAGAUUAAAACUUCAAAGGAAUUGAGNGNGNGAGNGCGAGACGACGACGAGGAGAGG
rnacentral:rRNA from 1 species